GUUGCUUCCCGAUGGGACGUCUGGCUGAGGGUCAA
rnacentral:rRNA from 1 species